rnacentral:lncRNA from 1 species
UCAAGGGGUUCGUAAUUUGCUAAGACCAAACAGGUCAGUAGUCCAAAGACUGCUCCAAGGUUCCUUUUAGUGUAAAGUGUUCACUUUCAAUAGUUUGGCCCAAAUCCUUUUCUGCAACCGUAUUGCUUAAUAUGUAUUCAUUCUUCCAGUCACUCCAUUGAAAAUACAUUGCGGGGCGCUUGGCUGACUCAGUUGGUAGAGAAUGCGACCGGUGAUCUCAGGGUGGUGAGUUCCAGCCCCACGUUGGGCAUGGAGCCUACUUAAUAAAUAAAAGAAAAAGAAACUACAUGGUUCGGAUUUAAUUUAGCAGAGAAAUUAGAAUUAUCUGCCCUCCAGGGAUAUCACCUACCUCGAUUCCCCUUUUACCCUGUUUUUUUCCCAUCCUUAUUACCUUGCCGCACGUCUUGUUUUUAAACACAUUUGGGAAAUUCCCCUGAAGUACAGUAAAUUGGCUUUCUUUAACUUCCAUAGCCUCUUGUCAUAUUAGUAUUAAUAAUCGUCAUGUGGUGAGUUCAUGAGUCUGACACUGUAAUAAGCACUUUGUAUUAAUUUUCUUACUUAAUCCUUAACCUACCAGAACAGUAUGACUCUUCCUUUUUGCAGAUAGAGAAACAAAGUACCAAAGUUAAUUGCCUGAAGAUUCACAGCUAGUAAGUAUUAACUGAAUUAGGUGUCCAAUCUAGAUCUUUGAUUUUGCCAUACUUCUCAAAGCCUUUGAAUAUACACAGCCCUUAUUAGACUACUUAUCACAUUAUAUUAUAAUUAGCUAUUUAGCAGUCAUGCCACCUCCCCAACUCUGAGCUUCUGGAAGGUAGGGAUUGUAUCAUUAUUCAUCUUGGUGCUCCUGACAUUCUGAAUACUUAGUUCAAGGGGAGGGCUUAGUAACUGUGGUUGUGGGUUAGCAGGUGGCUUGAUGAGCAGUUGAUUGGUGGAUGAACUAAUAAAAUCAUUAGUCAUCUCAAUCCCCUUAUUUUUAGAAAUAGGGCAGCUAAGGUGUUUUGUCUUGCCAGACAUCUAUUGAGUUAUUAUAGGGGCCAGUUUCUAUGCUAAAUGAUUUGCAAAGAGUUUCAAACUUAAUCUGUAUUAUUAUUUCUGUUUUUACAGAUGAAGAAACUGCUCACAUUUGGCCAAGAUCACAUAAGUAGGAGGUGGGGAAUUGGAACACACUCUGACUCCAAAUUAAUACAGUUUGUAGCCAGUUACAUAAUAAUGGUAAAAGGCUUCAUUUGUUGCUGUGUUAUAUGGAUAAACUCACUGAGGGUUAGUACACCCUUAAAGGAUACACACAUGGCAGGAAGGAUAAAAAAGAAAACUGAAACAGCAGAGAAGCAGAAAAAAUAAAAUCUCCCAAAAUAAACUUGAGAGGGAUUAAAAAUAAAAGCAGAUAUUAAUUAAAUAAAAUAUAAAAUUGAUAACUGCUGUUUGAAAAGAACAAUAAAUAGACACUUAGCAAAUUUAAAGAAGGAAAGAAAACAAUAAUGGAAACAAAGGAACAUAUUUCAGAUAUGAGGGACUCCCAAAAUUAGAAGUGAGUCUCAAGUAGCUUUAUACUAAUAAUCUUGAAAAUUUAUUUGGAUAAUUUUCUAGGAAAAUACAGAUUUUCAAAAAUUGGCUGUAGUUAGAAAACCUUAAUAAACUGAUAAUCAUGAAAGAAUAUCCUGUAUAUCCUUGACCAAAGUCACCAGGAACAAAGCAUAGAGAAGAAUUGAGUAUGUCCCAACUAUGAAGGGAGCAUAACCAUAACAGAAUCUAAACAAGGAUAAUGAAAAUUAAAAAAAAUCUCAGUCUCACUUAUGAAUACUCCGGUGAAAAACCUAAGGAAAUUAUGAAGCCAGCAGUGCAUUUAGAAAAUAAUGUCAUAACCAAAUCGGGUUAAUCCCACCAAUACAAGAAUACUCAACCUUAGUGAAAAUUUUC